rnacentral:lncRNA from 1 species
AUGAGACAAGAAGAAAAAGAUUAUGGAAGAGAUACCCCAAGGAAACACCAUUCUAGGAAGAUUUUAUAUACAGGCAAUGCCACGGGAAAAAAUAAGGUGAUGUUCCAGUUAAAAAGCACACACGUGGCAUGUGUGCAUAUCUAUGCAGAUGCUCAAUUGAAAGGAGCGGCAACAUUUCAGGACUUCUUGGGUGGAAGAAAGUUGGCAGAGAGAAAGUCCACGAGCCAAGACUGCCUGAGCAAGAAACUUUUAAGCAUGGCUACAUCAGCAAAAGUCACAUCGAGGCGGCAGCUUCCUGCUGAGUAA